UACAGAGGAUGCAAGCGUUAUCCGGAAUGAUUGGGCGUAAAGCGUCUGUAGGUGGCUUUUUAAGUCCGCCGUCAAAUCCCAGGGCUCAACUCUGGACAGGCGGUGGAAACUACCAAGCUGGAGUACGGUAGGGGCAGAGGGAAUUUCCGGUGGAGCGGUGAAAUGCGUAGAGAUCGGGAGGAACACCAAAGGCGAAGGCAGUGUCCUGGGGAGUACCUGACGCUCAGGUGCGAAAGCCAGGGGAGCGAACGGG
rnacentral:rRNA from 1 species